ensembl:lncRNA
UAUUAGGAGGAAGUUUUUCACUCAGAGGGUGGUGACACACUGGAACAGGUUGCUCGAGGAGGUUGUGGAUGCCCCAUCCCUGAAGGCAUUCAAGGCCAGGCUGGAUGUGGCUCUGGGCAGCCUGGUCUGGUGGUUGGCAACCCUGCACAUAGCAGGAGGGUUGAAACCAGAUGAUCACAGUGGUCCUUUCCAACCCAAGCCAUUCUAUGAUACUAUGAUUCCUCACAGGAAUGCUUUGUUUAAUAGGAAUUCUGAUAUAAUGUUAUGAUAUGCUCUACUACAUCUGAGCCAGAUUUGACUCACCAACCUCCAUCAGUAAAGAUAUAUUCUGUGCUGUUCCUGAUAACUUUGACAAAAGCUACUUUC